UACGGAGGGGACUAGCGUUGUCCGGAAUCACUGGGCGUAAAGCGCACGUAGGCGGCAUUGCAAGUCGGAUGUGAAAUCCCUCGGCUUAACCAAGGAAGUGCAUCCGAAACUGCAGUGCUUGAGUACUUAAGAGGAUCGCGGAAUUCCCGGUGUAGAGGUGAAAUUCGUAGAUAUCGGGAGGAACACCAGUGGCGAAGGCGGCGAUCUGGGAAGAUACUGACGCUGAGGUGCGAAAGCGUGGGGAGCAAACAGG
rnacentral:rRNA from 1 species